CCCCCUAAAAUCCCUAAUUUCCCCCUUGAAACCCCCAACAUUACAAACAUACCACCGUUUAAAACUUUUAACUCCAUGCCCAUUGCUAUCUUUUCUUCCUCAACCCCCAUUCUUAAACGCCCAAAUUUGGGAAGCUAUUUUUUCUUUCUCUGCAAAACUUUCCUGGUACACAUUUUUGCUGGACGGGCAUAAUUUGGAAGACUCAAAGCAAAGCACUGCUGAGUUUACUCAACCCUAUUUUAUAGCAUGUGCAAAAUCUUCUUCAACAAAUGCAAUCCAGGUUUCAAACAAUGUCGGAGUCCAUCAUCACAAAGAAUAUCCUUUUCGUAUAUUUAUAGGGGGAAUUUAAUGAAUUUGAAGUUUUUACUGUGCAAUACCGGGCCUGGUUGAGAUGCUAUUAACCCUGAACCUUAAUCUGUGGCAACCCCAAAUCUAAUAUGCUAGAUGAUUUUUAUUUUCUAAGAUAAUUUGUCCUAGCUUACAUUCAAUCUAGAAAUACAUUUCAACAUUGUCUCUAGUUACUAUGAAUUGGGUUCAUUUUUCUUCAAUGUUUUAGGGUGAUUUCGGUGUGGAUUAGUUUUGGGUUUAGAUGAUUUCGAUCUUAGCUUUCAGUUGUUUUUAAUUUGGGUUCUGAGGUUUAUUUAUUGGGUGUGGUUUUAGAUCAUUAGGGACACAAUUCACUUCAGAGUUAUGUUAAUUUGGUUUUGAGUUAAAUUUUGUAUGAUCCAAUUGAGUUGAGUUAAAAAAGUGUUUUCUGGGUUUUAUAAUUUGCUUCUUUUAUAACUGCUUUUCUUUUUUUGUUCAUUUAUAUUCUUAUGUUUUCCAUGUGUUUGUUUUAAUGCCUGUUUGGUAUUUCACAUAUAUAUAUGUUUUGUUGGCUUUGAAGGUAAGAAGAUCCUCAUCAUGGUGAGAGGCAAAGCACAAAUGAGGCGCAUACAGACCGAUACGAGCAG